GUUAUAUCUCGUUAGGCUAGGCUCCUAUACAAACACAAGUUGCUGAUCUCACGACGUCGAGAGACGCCCAAGGUUAGGACAAGGCAGAUCGGAUUAAGGUUUGCCUCAAAGUAACUUCCUAUCAUAGAAUACGUUGUAUAAUGCUAAAACUAAGACGAUUGGGAUAGUGU
rnacentral:sRNA from 1 species